AGCUUUGCAUAGUGGCAGUAUCAUAACCAGUGAGGUUUAUGAGGUGUGAUUAUUGCUAAUUGAAAAAAAAAAAAAGAUAGACAAACUUAAAUGUAAAACGUAAAACUAUAGAACUUCUAGAAAACAAUGU
rnacentral:snRNA from 8 species